rnacentral:rRNA from 1 species
GAGCACGUAGGUGGGUUUGUAAGUCAGAUGUGAAAGCCUUCUGUUCAACGGAAGAAUUGCAUCUGAAACUGCGAGUCUUGAGUGUAGGAGGGGAGAAUGGAACUUCUGGUGGAGCGGUGAAAUGCGUAGAUAUCAGAAGGAACGCCGGCGGCGAAAGCGAUUCUCUGGCCUAUUACUGACACUCAGUGUGCGAAAGCUAGGGGAGCAAACGGGAUUAGAUACCCCGGUAGUCCUAGCCGUAAACGAUGGGCACUAAGUAGAGGGAAUUACCGAUGUUCUCUCUGCCGUAGCUAACGCAUUAAGUGCCCCGCCUGGGGAGUACGGCCGCAAGGCUAAAACUCAAAAGAAUUGACGGGGGCUCGCACAAGCGGUGGAGCAUGUGGCUUAAUUCGAUGCAACGCGAAAAACCUUACCGGGGCUUGACAUGGUAGAAGUAGGAACCCGAAAGGUAACGAACGGUAUCCAGUCCGUAGCUAUCACAGGUGUUGCAUGGCUGUCGUCAGCUCGUGUCGUGAGACGUUGGGUUAAGUCCCCUAACGAGCGAAACCCUUGUUUUUAGUUACCAGCGGGUUAUGCCGGGUACUCUAGAAAGACUGCCGUCGUCAAGACGGAGGAAGGUGGGGAUGACGUCAAGUCAUCAUGGCCCUUAUGCCCUGGGCUGCACACGUGCUACAAUGGUCGGUACAAACGGAUGCGAAGCCGAGAGGUGAAGCGAAUCC